rnacentral:rRNA from 1 species
GGGUUGUGAGGUUAAGCGACUAAGCGUACACGGUGGAUGCCCUGGCAGUCAGAGGCGAUGAAGGGCGUGCUAAUCUGCGAUAAGCGCCGGUAAGGUGAUAUGAACCGUUAUAACCGGCGAUACCCGAAUGGGGAAACCCAGUGUGAUUCGUCACACUAUCAUUAACUGAAUCCAUAGGUUAAUGAGGCGAACCGGGGGAACUGAAACAUCUAAGUACCCCGAGGAAAAGAAAUCAACCGAGAUUCCCCCAGUAGCGGCGAGCGAACGGGGAGGAGCCCAGAGCCUGAAUCAGCAUGUGUGUUAGUGGAAGCGUCUGGAAAGGCGCGCGAUACAGGGUGACAGCCCCGUACACAAAAGCGCAUGUGCUGUGAGCUCGAUGAGUAGGGCGGGACACGUGGUAUCCUGUCUGAAUAUGGGGGGACCAUCCUCCAAGGCUAAAUACUCCUGACUGACCGAUAGUGAACCAGUACCGUGAGGGAAAGGCGAAAAGAACCCCGGCGAGGGGAGUGAAAAAGAACCUGAAACCGUGUACGUACAAGCAGUGGGAGCCCCACCACUAAGCCAGUGGUGAACUCCACAUACGCAUCCUUUGCUGAGGAUACGGUUAACGGAGCGAAAGCGACGUUCAACCGCAAAAGAAGCAGAGGGGGCUUAGUGGUGGGGUGACUGCGUACCUUUUGUAUAAUGGGUCAGCGACUUAUAUUCUGUAGCAAGGUUAACCGAAUAGGGGAGCCGGAGGGAAACCGAGUCUUAAUUGGGCGUUAAGUUGCAGGGUAUAGACCCGAAACCCGGUGAUCUAGCCAUGGGCAGGUUGAAGGUUGGGUAACACUAACUGGAGGACCGAACCGACUAAUGUUGAAAAAUUAGCGGAUGACCUGUGGCUGGGGGUGAAAGGCCAAUCAAACCGGGAGAUAGCUGGUUCUCCCCGAAAGCUAUUUAGGUAGCGCCUCGUGAAUUCAUCUCCGGGGGUAGAGCACUGUUUCGGCUAGGGGGCCAUCCCGGCUUACCAACCCGAUGCAAACUGCGAAUACCGGAGAAUGUUAUCACGGGAGACACACGGCGGGUGCUAACGUCCGUCGUGAAGAGGGAAACAACCCAGACCGCCAGCUAAGGUCCCAAAGUCAUGGUUAAGUGGGAAACGAUGUGGGAAGGCCCAGACAGCCAGGAUGUUGGCUUAGAAGCAGCCAUCAUUUAAAGAAAGCGUAAUAGCUCACUGGUCGAGUCGGCCUGCGCGGAAGAUGUAACGGGGCUAAACCAUGCACCGAAGCUGCGGCAGCGACACUCAGGUGUUGUUGGGUAGGGGAGCGUUCUGUAAGCCUGUGAAGGUGUGUCGUGAGGCAUGCUGGAGGUAUCAGAAGUGCGAAUGCUGACAUAAGUAACGAUAAAGCGGGUGAAAAGCCCGCUCGCCGGAAGACCAAGGGUUCCUGUCCAACGUUAAUCGGGGCAGGGUGAGUCGACCCCUAAGGCGAGGCCGAAAGGCGUAGUCGAUGGGAAACGGGUUAAUAUUCCCGUACUUGGUGUUACUGCGAAGGGGGGACGGAGAAGGCUAUGUUGGCCGGGCGACGGUUGUCCCGGUUUAAGCGUGUAGGUGUGUGUUCCAGGUAAAUCCGGUUCACUUUAACACUGAGGCGUGACGACGAGGCACUACGGUGCUGAAGCAACAAAUGCCCUGCUUCCAGGAAAAGCCUCUAAGCAUCAGGUAACACGAAAUCGUACCCCAAACCGACACAGGUGGUCAGGUAGAGAAUACCAAGGCGCUUGAGAGAACUCGGGUGAAGGAACUAGGCAAAAUGGUGCCGUAACUUCGGGAGAAGGCACGCUGACACGUAGGUGAAGUGAUUUACUCAUGGAGCUGAAGUCAGUCGAAGAUACCAGCUGGCUGCAACUGUUUAUUAAAAACACAGCACUGUGCAAACACGAAAGUGGACGUAUACGGUGUGACGCCUGCCCGGUGCCGGAAGGUUAAUUGAUGGGGUCAGCGCAAGCGAAGCUCCUGAUCGAAGCCCCGGUAAACGGCGGCCGUAACUAUAACGGUCCUAAGGUAGCGAAAUUCCUUGUCGGGUAAGUUCCGACCUGCACGAAUGGCGUAAUGAUGGCCAGGCUGUCUCCACCCGAGACUCAGUGAAAUUGAACUCGCUGUGAAGAUGCAGUGUACCCGCGGCAAGACGGAAAGACCCCGUGAACCUUUACUAUAGCUUGACACUGAACAUUGAGCCUUGAUGUGUAGGAUAGGUGGGAGGCUUUGAAGUGUGGACGCCAGUCUGCAUGGAGCCGACCUUGAAAUACCACCCUUUAAUGUUUGAUGUUCUAACGUGGACCCGUAAUCCGGGUUGCGGACAGUGUCUGGUGGGUAGUUUGACUGGGGCGGUCUCCUCCUAAAGAGUAACGGAGGAGCACGAAGGUUGGCUAAUCCUGGUCGGACAUCAGGAGGUUAGUGCAAUGGCAUAAGCCAGCUUGACUGCGAGCGUGACGGCGCGAGCAGGUGCGAAAGCAGGUCAUAGUGAUCCGGUGGUUCUGAAUGGAAGGGCCAUCGCUCAACGGAUAAAAGGUACUCCGGGGAUAACAGGCUGAUACCGCCCAAGAGUUCAUAUCGACGGCGGUGUUUGGCACCUCGAUGUCGGCUCAUCACAUCCUGGGGCUGAAGUAGGUCCCAAGGGUAUGGCUGUUCGCCAUUUAAAGUGGUACGCGAGCUGGGUUUAGAACGUCGUGAGACAGUUCGGUCCCUAUCUGCCGUGGGCGCUGGAGAACUGAGGGGGGCUGCUCCUAGUACGAGAGGACCGGAGUGGACGCAUCACUGGUGUUCGGGUUGUCAUGCCAAUGGCACUGCCCGGUAGCUAAAUGCGGAAGAGAUAAGUGCUGAAAGCAUCUAAGCACGAAACUUGCCCCGAGAUGAGUUCUCCCUGAGACUUAGAGUCUCCUGAAGGAACGUUGAAGACGACGACGUUGAUAGGCCGGGUGUGUAAGCGCAGCGAUGCGUUGAGCUAACCGGUACUAAUGAACCGUGAGGCUUAACCUUACAACGCCGAAG